rnacentral:lncRNA from 1 species
UUGAUGAAUCCAGUGGAGAAAAUUGGAGAAGAGAGAAAGAAAUAAUAAUAGGGAAAAAGACUUUCUCACGUGCGAAAACAAUUCAAGGGAGACAAUGGCAAAUUGGUGAAUAUGUUAUUUGGACAGAGUGUAUUACGUAUUUUCUAAGAGACUUGUAUAAGGUCAAAUAGUACCGCGACCCAUUUUGCAAAUAAAAACUUUGCCUGGCUCAAAC